ensembl:snRNA U6 U6 spliceosomal RNA
GUGCUUGAUUUGGCAGCACAUAUACUACAAUUAAGACGAUACAGACACGAUCAGCGUGGCCCAGGCACAGGGAGGACACGCACAUUCUAAAGUGUCCCAUAUUUUU